UAGGGAAUCUUCCGCAAUGGACGAAAGUCUGACGGAGCAACGCCGCGUGAGUGAUGAAGGCUUUCGGGUCGUAAAACUCUGUUGUUAGGGAAGAACAAGUACGAGAGUAACUGCUCGUACCUUGACGGUACCUAACCAGAAAGCCACGGCUAACUACGUGCCAGCAGCCGCGGUAAUACGUAGGUGGCAAGCGUUAUCCGGAAUUAUUGGGCGUAAAGCGCGCGCAGGCGGUUUCUUAAGUCUGAUGUGAAAGCCCACGGCUCAACCGUGGAGGG
rnacentral:rRNA from 1 species